UAGGGAAUCUUCGGCAAUGGACGAAAGUCUGACCGAGCAACGCCGCGUGAGUGAAGAAGGUUUUCGGAUCGUAAAACUCUUUUGUUAGAGAAGAACAAGGACGUUAGUAACUGAACGUCCCCUGACGGUAUCUAACCAGAAAGCCACGGCUAACUACGUGCCAGCAGCCGCGGUAAUACGUAGGUGGCAAGCGUUGUCCGGAUUUAUUGGGCGUAAAGCGAGCGCAGGCGGUUUAUUAAGUCUGAUGUGAAAGCCCCCGGCUCAACCGGGGAGGGUCAUUGGAAACUGGGAGACUUGAGUGCAGAAGAGGAGAGUGGAAUUCCAUGUGUAGCGGUGAAAUGCGUAGAUAUAUGGAGGAACACCAGUGGCGAAGGCGGCUCUCUGGUCUGUAACUGACGCUGAGGCUCGAAAGCGUGGGGAGCAAACAGG
rnacentral:rRNA from 1 species